rnacentral:rRNA from 1 species
AUUGAACGCUGGCGGCAUGCCUUACACAUGCAAGUCGAACGGCAGCACGGGUGCUUGCACCUGGUGGCGAGUGGCGAACGGGUGAGUAAUACAUCGGAACGUACCUUAUCGUGGGGGAUAACGCAGCGAAAGUUGCGCUAAUACCGCAUACGCCCUGAGGGGGAAAGCGGGGGACCGUAAGGCCUCGCGCGAUUAGAGCGGCCGAUGUCUGAUUCGCUUGUUGGUGAGGUAAAAGCUCACCAAGGCGAUGAUCAGUAGCUGGUCUGAGAGGACGAUCAGCCACACUGGGACUGAGACACGGCCCAGACUCCUACGGGAGGCAGCAGUGGGGAAUUUUGGACAAUGGGGGCAACCCUGAUCCAGCAAUGCCGCGUGAGUGAAGAAGGCCUUCGGGUUGUAAGCUCUUUUGUCAGGGAAGAAACAGCAGCUCUAACACAGUCUGCGAAUGACGGUACCUGAAGAAUAAGCACCGGCUAACUACGUGCCAGCAGCCGCGGUAA